AGUAGGGCCUGCCCACUGAGAAAUUGAAGGGCCGCAGUAUCUUAACUGUGCAAAGGUAGCAUAAUCAUUAGUUUUUUAAUUGAAAGCUGGAAUGAAUGGUUUGAUGAAAAAAUUACUGUUUCAAUAUUAAUUAUUUAGAAUUUUAUUUUUAAGUUAAAAAGCUUAAAUAAUCAUAAAAGACGAGAAGACCCUAUAGAGUUUAAUUUAGUUUAAAUUAUUUUUAUAAAGAAUUUACAUUUUAAUAUUUUAAAUUAAAUUUGAUUGGGGUGAUUGAAAAAUUAAUUUAACUUUUUUUAAAUUUUUACAUUAAUUUAUGAAUAUAUGAUCCAUAAAAAUGAUUAAAAGAUA
rnacentral:rRNA from 1 species